GACGUAGGGCGCGAGCGUUGUCCGGAUUUAUUGGGCGUAAAGAGCUCGUAGGCGGUUUGUCGCGUCGUCCGUGAAAACUCACAGCUUAACUGUGAGCUUGCGGUCGAUACGGGCAGGCUAGAGUUCGGUAGGGGAGACUGGAAUUCCUGGUGUAGCGGUGAAAUGCGCAGAUAUCAGGAGGAACACCGAUGGCGAAGGCAGCUCGCUGGGACGGUACUGACGCUGAGGCGCGAAAGCGUGGGGAGCAAACAGG
rnacentral:rRNA from 1 species